rnacentral:rRNA from 1 species
AACGAACGCUGGCGGCGCGUUUUAAGCAUGCAAGUUGAACGGUAAUUCGGUGCUUGCACCGGAUGAGAGUGGCGCACGGGUGAGUAACACGUAGGUGAUCUACCUUUGGCAUGGGGAUAGCCUGUGGAAACACAGGGUAAUACCGAAUACGACCUUAUUGCUGUGGCAGUAGGGGGAAAGGCCCUAAGGGGUCGGCCGGAGAUGAGCCUGCGGACCAUUAGUUAGUUGGUGUGGUAAAGGCGCACCAAGGCGACGAUGGAUAGCCGGCCUGAGAGGGCGAUCGGCCACACUGGGACUGAGACACGGCCCAGACUCCUACGGGAGGCAGCAGCUAAGAAUCUUCCGCAAUGGGCGAAAGCCUGACGGAGCGACGCCGCGUGAACGAAGAAGGCCGUGAGGUUGUAAAGUUCUUUUCCUGGGGAGGAAUAAUGUUCGGAGGGAAUGCCGGGCAGAUGACGUGAACCAGGGAAUAAGCCCCGGCUAAUUCCGUGCCAGCAGCCGCGGUAACACGGAAGGGGCAAGCGUUGUUCGGAUUUAUUGGGCGUAAAGGGCGUGUAGGCGGCAGUGCAAGUCUGGUGUGAAAGACUCCGGCUCAACCGGAGAGACGCGCUGGAAACUGUGCUGCUAGAGUUUAGGAGGGGGAGCUGGAAUUCCUGGUGUAGGGGUGAAAUCUGUAGAGAUCAGGAAGAACACCGGAGGCGAAGGCGAGCUCCUGGCCAUAGACUGACGCUGAGGCGCGAAAGCGUGGGGAGCGAACAGGAUUAGAUACCCUGGUAGUCCACGCUGUAAACGAUGGGCACUAGGUGUUGGUUCCGCUUGCGGGAUCGGUGCCGCAGCUAACGCAAUAAGUGCCCCGCCUGGGGAGUACGAUCGCAAGGUUGAAACUCAAAGGAAUUGACGG